rnacentral:lncRNA from 1 species
CAUCAGAUUAUCUCUAAUGUUACUUUGUUCUGCUAUUUCUGACAGUGGCUAGACUGUCGUAUAAGCCUGUGUGUCAGGAGUGCUGUAGACCUGUUUUCCUGUUUUCUUUCAGCCUGUUAUGGGGACAGAGUGUUCUGCUUUCGGGCGUGCAGUUUUUCCUCUCUACAGGUCUUCAGUUGUUCCUGUGGGCCUGUGUCUUGAGUUCACCAGGCAGGUCACUUGCAGCAGAAAAGUUGGUCUUACCUGUGGUCCCGAGGCUCAAGUUCGCUCAUGGGGUGCUGCCCACGAGCUCUCUGCCGCGGCAGCAACCAGGAAGAUCUGCACUGCCAUUUCUGGGAGCUUCAGUGCACCAGGGUUCCAGAUGGUGUUUGGUGUUUUCCUCUGGAAUCAGUAAUGUGUGCAGAGUGCAGUCUCUUCUGGUUUCCCAGGCCUGUCUGCCUCUCUGAAGGUUUAGCUCUCCCUCCCAUGGGAUUUGGGUGCAGAGAACUGUUUAUCUGGUCUGUUCCUUCAGGUUCCAGCGGUGUCUCACACGGUGGCUCUUAACUGGCUGUAAAUCCUGGACCAGGGAUGCUAGCGCCCUCCCGUUUUUUUGUUUUUUGUUUUUUUUUUUAUGUAUUAAAAAUACAACUAGCUUUUUACAGGAAAAAUUGUCAGAAAUACACUAAAAUUGUAGUAAAAGCUUUUUGUAAUAAAAGUUGUUUGAAAAGUACAA